rnacentral:lncRNA from 1 species
CCCAUGCCCACCCUCAGUCUGCUCUGGGCCAGCCACUGUGUGGCAUCCUGAGGGAUGAUUCUAAAAUUCACAUUCUCUCUCUGUCCAAACGGACACUUCUAACCCUUCCAUGGCACAGCAAUGUUUAUGAUGCAAUGUUAGGUGAAAAUCACAAUAUAUCAUUGUAUUCUUACUAUGGUUAUAACUAUUAAAAAUGAAUGGAUGCAGCUGGGCACGGUGGCUCACGCCUGUAAUCCCAGCACUUUGCGAGGCUGAGGCGGGCGGAUCACGAGGUCAGGAGUUCGAGACCAGCCUGGCCAACAUGGUGAAACCCUGUCUCUACUAAAAAUACAAAAAUUAGCAGGGUGUGGUGGCACACGCCUGUAAUCCCAGCUACUCAGGAGGCUGAGGAAGGAGAAUUGCUUGAAUCCAGGAGGCGGAGGUUGUAAUGAGCCGAUAUCGUGGCACUGCACUCCAGCCUGGGCGACAGAACAAGACUCCAUCUUGAAAAAAAAGUGAAUGGAUGCUUGUGUUCCUAAAAAUUCAUAUUUAAGAUAAAAGUGGUUGUGAUAGGGUAGUUGGGAUUGGUGAUGCUGUUAUCAGUAUUUAUAUCCUUUAUUGUUGUUUUACAGUUUGCUCAGUAAAUGCAAUUUGUGUCAGACGCCAAGGCAAAUUUAAAAAGAAAGAACAUACCCACUCUCUGCUCUAACCUUGUAACAUGUUCUUUGUGUGGUAACACAUGGCAUGUUAGGAGUAGGUGCCCCCAGUUUUGGGAUCUGACAUCUGAGGGACACAGGGAAGGAGGUAGGUCCAGAUCCAGGGCUUGUCACAGAGUGGGCUGAGUGCCAACGAGUAGAUGACAUGUUUCUCUUGGCCUGGGAUGCAGAAGGCGCUGGAGCAGCAG